rnacentral:rRNA from 1 species
GUGACUGCGUACCUUUUGUAUAAUGGGUCAGCGACUUAUAUUCUGUAGCAAGGUUAACCGAAUAGGGGAGCCGAAGGGAAACCGAGUCUUAACUGGGCGUUAAGUUGCAGGGUAUAGACCCGAAACCCGGUGAUCUAGCCAUGGGCAGGUUGAAGGUUGGGUAACACUAACUGGAGGACCGAACCGACUAAUGUUGAAAAAUUAGCGGAUGACUUGUGGCUGGGGGUGAAAGGCCAAUCAAACCGGGAGAUAGCUGGUUCUCCCCGAAAGCUAUUUAGGUAGCGCCUCGUGAAUUCAUCUCCGGGGGUAGAGCACUGUUUCGGCAAGGGGGUCAUCCCGACUUACCAACCCGAUGCAAACUGCGAAUACCGGAGAAUGUUAUCACGGGAGACACACGGCGGGUGCUAACGUCCGUCGUGAAGAGGGAAACAACCCAGACCGCCAGCUAAGGUCCCAAAGUCAUGGUUAAGUGGGAAACGAUGUGGGAAGGCCCAGACAGCCAGGAUGUUGGCUUAGAAGCAGCCAUCAUUUAAAGAAAGCGUAAUAGCUCACUGGUCGAGUCGGCCUGCGCGGAAGAUGUAACGGGGCUAAACCAUGCACCGAAGCUGCGGCAGCGACACUAUGUGUUGUUGGGUAGGGGAGCGUUCUGUAAGCCUGUGAAGGUGUACUGUGAGGUAUGCUGGAGGUAUCAGAAGUGCGAAUGCUGACAUAAGUAACGAUAAAGCGGGUGAAAAGCCCGCUCGCCGGAAGACCAAGGGUUCCUGUCCAACGUUAAUCGGGGCAGGGUGAGUCGACCCCUAAGGCGAGGCCGAAAGGCGUAGUCGAUGGGAAACAGGUUAAUAUUCCUGUACUUGGUGUUACUGCGAAGGGGGGACGGAGAAGGCUAUGUUGGCCGGGCGACGGUUGUCCCGGUUUAAGCGUGUAGGCUGGUUUUCCAGGCAAAUCCGGAAAAUCAAGGCUGAGGCGUGAUGACGAGGCACUACGGUGCUGAAGCAACAAAUGCCCUGCUUCCAGGAAAAGCCUCUAAGCAUCAGGUAACAUCAAAUCGUACCCCAAACCGACACAGGUGGUCAGGUAGAGAAUACCAAGGCGCUUGAGAGAACUCGGGUGAAGGAACUAGGCAAAAUGGUGCCGUAACUUCGGGAGAAGGCACGCUGAUAUGUAGGUGAAG